rnacentral:lncRNA from 1 species
AAAAAAUAUUCUUUUUUUAUUUAAAUAAUACGAAGGCUAGUACCCUUCGGGAAGUGAUUGGUCUGCCAUAUGCUAUAAACGGGAUUAAACUCCAUUUCUCAUACUUUCACUCAUUGAUUCACUCAUUGUUAAGAUUAGGUUAGGUAUAUUUCGAUCUCACACUAAGCCAAGAAAUUCAAAAACGAUAAAUUUUAAAAUAUGGGGAUAGGGAUCAACAAGUUAUUGAAAAAAAUUUCCUCCCCAAGUAGAAUUGCUUUAUCAAUGAUUCGGUGAAUGUAUCUAUGUUCAAUUCGUGUGUGUACAUGUAUGAAUCAAAUUCAUUUCGUUAGGAUGGGGCUCAUCAAUUUAAUUAGGGAUCGGUCUUAUGAUGAAACAAUUCAUUGCAUUGAUCAAAUCCAAUAUAAAAAACCAUUUUACCUAUACUCAUUAGAUAAAUCCAGUUCCUCAAUGAGCGACUAUGUGGAUAAGAUAUAUUUAUGUACAUAUCUUAUUAU